rnacentral:tRNA from 1 species
GGGGAUAUGGCUCAGUUGGUAGAGUGCUUGCCUCGCGUGUAAGGCCCAGGGUUCAAUCCCUAGCACCA